rnacentral:tmRNA from 1 species
GGGGGCGACCAGGUUUCGACGGGGAUUCGCAAAGCCGCAGCCGCGUGUCGGGGAUUUCUCGGCUCAGCCCCGUUAUCAAGGUCGAGAAAACACAAUUGCCAACGAUAACUUGGCCCUGGCCGCUUAACUUAGUUAGGUAGCCUGUCCGCCUCACUCGCGUCGCGGGGGUGAGGGCCGGGCAUCAAACACCGCCGACUGGUCCUCUGCCGCGCCCGGGAGCAGAGGGCGAGACAAUCCGGGCUGGCCGCGCGACGGAUCGUCCGCCGUCCUCGCGCGCGGUGAGACUCAAAGCUGUGGACUACACACGUAGACGCCGCGGGGGAGGUUUCUUCGGACGCGGGUUCGAUUCCCGCCGCCUCCACCU